GCAUGGCAAUGGAUUUACGGUGAGGUCCAGGCGAUGACCUUCCCGUAGUGUACUCCAUGCUAGAGAGAAGCCCUGCUCCGAACCAUUGGUAGGCCUCUCCCCGUAGGCCUUAACCACUGACGUGAGUAGCACAGUU